UGGAAUGGUAUCUAGAAAACACACUAACCAA
rnacentral:piRNA from 1 species